rnacentral:rRNA from 1 species
UUGACUCUGGCCUGAAAUCAGGUAGGACUACCCGCU